GAGGCAGCAGUAGGGAAUCUUCCGCAAUGGGCGAAAGCCUGACGGAGCAACGCCGCGUGAGUGAAGAAGGUCUUCGGAUCGUAAAACUCUGUUAUUAGGGAAGAACAAAUGUGUAAGUAACUAUGCACGUCUUGACGGUACCUAAUCAGAAAGCCACGGCUAACUACGUGCCAGCAGCCGCGGUAAUACGUAGGUGGCAAGCGUUAUCCGGAAUUAUUGGGCGUAAAGCGCGCGUAGGCGGUUUUUUAAGUCUGA
rnacentral:rRNA from 1 species